rnacentral:rRNA from 1 species
CAGUCGAGCGGACAGAUGGGAGCUUGCUCCCUGAUGUUAGCGGCGGACGGGUGAGUAACACGUGGGUAACCUGCCUGUAAGACUGGGAUAACUCCGGGAAACCGGGGCUAAUACCGGAUGGUUGUUUGAACCGCAUGGUUCAAAUAUAAAAGGUGGCUUCGGCUACCACUUACAGAUGGACCCGCGGCGCAAUAACUAGUUGGUGAGGUAACGGCUCACCAAGGCAACGAUGCGUAGCCCACCUGAGAGGGUGAUCGGCCAAACUGGGACUGAAACCCCGCCCAAACUCCUACGGGAGGCACCAGUAGGGAAUCUUCCGCAAGGGACAAAAGUCGGACGAAACAACCCCGGGUGAGUGAUGAAGGUUUUCGAAUCCAAAAAUUCUUUGGUUAGGGAAAAAAAAAACCGUUUCAAAUAGGGGGUAACCUGCCCGAAACCAACCCCAAAUCCCUGGGGAAGUCCAGAGAAUCACCAGCGGGGAAACGUUAGUUGCGAGAGUUGUAAAGAAAUAAUAGGGCGUAAAGGGCUGGGCAGGCGCUUUCUUAAGUCUGAUGAGAUAGCCCCUGGCUCACCAGGCAGGGUCAUUGGAGACUGGG